rnacentral:rRNA from 1 species
GUGGGGAAUAUUGGACAAUGGGCGCAAGCCUGAUCCAGCAAUGCCGCGUGUGUGAAGAAGGUCUUCGGAUCGUAAAGCACUUUCGACGGGGACGAUGAUGACGGUACCCGUAGAAGAAGCCCCGGCUAACUUCGUGCCAGCAGCCGCGGUAAUACGAAGGGGGCUAGCGUUGCUCGGAAUUACUGGGCGUAAAGGGCGCGUAGGCGGCUCUGUGAGUCAGGCGUGAAAUUCCUGGGCUUAACCUGGGGACUGCGCUUGAUACUGCAGGGCUUGAGGCCGAGAGAGGGUGGUGGAAUUCCCAGUGUAGAGGUGAAAUUCGUAGAUAUUGGGAAGAACACCGGUGGCGAAGGCGACCACCUGGCUCGGUACUGACGCUGAGGCGCGACAGCGUGGGGAGCAAACAGGAUUAGAAACCCGUGUAGUCC